ACGGCCAUAUGACGUUUAAACAUAAAUUCUCGUACGAUAACCGAAGUUAAGCAACGUCGAGUCUGGUUGGUACUAGGAUGUGGGACCCCUUAGGAAUGCCAAGUGCUGUAAG